rnacentral:rRNA from 1 species
UACGGAGGGGGCUAGCGUUGUUCGGAAUUACUGGGCGUAAAGCGCACGUAGGCGGACCAGCAAGUUGGGGGUGAAAUCCUGGAGCUCAACUCCAGAACUGCCUUUGAUACUGAAGAUCUUGAGUUCGGGAGAGGUGAGUGGAACUGCGAGUGUAGAGGUGAAAUUCGUAGAUAUUCGCAAGAACACCAGUGGCGAAGGCGGCUCACUGGCCCGAUACUGACGCUGAGGCACGAAAGCGUGGGGAGCAAACAGG